rnacentral:rRNA from 1 species
UGGGGAAUAUUGCACAAUGGGCGCAAGCCUGAUGCAGCCAUGCCGCGUGUAUGAAGAAGGCCUUCGGGUUGUAAAGUACUUUCUGUCGGGAGGAAGGUGGUAAGGUUAAUAACCUUAUCAAUUGACGUUACCGACAGAAGAAGCACCGGCUAACUCCGUGCCAGCAGCCGCGGUAAUACGGAGGGUGCAAGCGUUAAUCGGAAUUACUGGGCGUAAAGCGCACGCAGGCGGUUGAUUGAGUCAGAUGUGAAAUCCCCGGGCUUAACCCGGGAAUUGCAUCUGAUACUGGUCAGCUAGAGUCUUGUAGAGGGGGGUAGAAUUCCAUGUGUAGCGGUGAAAUGCGUAGAGAUGUGGAGGAAUACCGGUGGCGAAGGCGGCCCCCUGGACAAAGACUGACGCUCAGGUGCGAAAGCGUGGGGAGCAAACAGG